CGGGUGAGUAACACGUGGGUGACCUGCCCUUAGCUCUGGGAUAGGCCUGGGAAACUGGGUCUAAUACCGGAUAUGACCUCAUGACGCAUGUUGUGGGGUGGAAAGCCUUGUGCGGCUAGGGAUGGGCCCGCGGCCUAUCAGCUUGUUGGUGGGGUGAUGGCCUACCAAGGCGACGACGGGUAGCCGGCCUGAGAGGGCGACCGGCCACACUGGGACUGAGACACGGCCCAG
rnacentral:rRNA from 1 species